GUCGGGAAUAUUGCGCAAUGGAGGAAACUCUGACGCAGUGACGCCGCGUAUAGGAAGAAGGUUUUAGGAUUGUAAACUAUUUUAGACAGGGAAGAAAAAUGACUGUACCUGUAGAAUAAGCUCCGGCUAACUACGUGCCAGCAGCCGCGGUAAUACGUAGGGAGCAAGCGUUAUCCGGAAUUAUUGGGUGUAAAGGGUGCGUAGACGGGAAUACAAGUUGGUUGUGAAAUCCCUCAGCUUAACUGAGGAACUGCAACCAAAACUAUAUUUCUUGAGUGCAGGAGAGGAAAGCGGAAUUCCUAGUGUAGCGGUGAAAUGCGUAGAUAUUAGGAGGAACACCAGUGGCGAAGGCGGCUUUCUGGACUGUAACUGACGUUGAGGCACGAAAGUGUGGGGAGCAAACAGG
rnacentral:rRNA from 1 species